UACGAAGGGGGCUAGCGUUGUUCGGAAUUACUGGGCGUAAAGCGCACGUAGGCGGACUAUUAAGUCAGGGGUGAAAUCCCGGAGCUCAACUCCGGAACUGCCUUUGAUACUGGUAGCCUAGAGAUCGGAAGAGGUGAGUGGAAUUCCCAGUGUAGAGGUGAAAUUCGUAGAUAUUGGGAAGAACACCAGUGGCGAAGGCGGCUCACUGGUCCGAUACUGACGCUGAGGUGCGAAAGCGUGGGGAGCAAACAGG
rnacentral:rRNA from 1 species